CACCGUCAUUCGGGCAGAACCAUGUUGGUCUUGGCGCUUACCGUAGCGGCCAUGUCACUGUGGGUGCAUACCGGAACGGAAGCGGACUCUAUCCGCGUUCGACACCUUUCGGCUCGGAAGGACUCGGUGGGCGUUCGGCUACCAUCGGCCCGCUUCGGCAUCGAAAACCCGGGCCGGCACCCAUGUCGGAGCAUGGGACAGAAGCGCUGCACAUGGAUCGUGCCCUGGAUCCGUGCUUCGAGAAGACGCGACUACGUCGAGCGCCAGCAACCGAACGGCAGGCCGAGCUCUUCAAACGACCCCUCUAGGGACGGCGGUUGGCUAUCGCUGCCUACGGGACCUCCUUACGUGCACGUGCGAUAGAUAGCCACACGAGUGGCUAUACAAGUGGCUAUCGCAGACACAUACAACGGCGCUGGGGACCCCUUAGUGAGGAAACGCAAUAAUUUUUUUUUUUUCAGGAAGGCGAGGUGGUAAGAUGAGAAAGCCGAUGUCGAAGAAUUGAACGAGAUAUAUAGGCUUAAACUCCCGAGACCCUGUGUGCAUCCCCGUGGACACCAGUUUUUUUUUUCCCCUUUUCAAAACUUAUCUAGAAGUAAUAUACAGAAAAAAAAAUCUGGUCUAUAUAAUUUGCACAGUGCCGCAGCCGGUAAAACGACGGAAACGUACGACUUGUCUCCGUCGUGCCUUUCCGUCUGCUGUUGUGCUGUACACGUCACGGAUUACCAACUAUAGCCAGGUCUCACACCUUGCUUCAAUAUAACUUGAAGGCAGAUGCUCCUGGCACCAUUUAUAAAUGGCUUAGUUAUCUCAUCGUUGCCAUCGUUUUUUUUAAAGAAAAUGGAUAACACUCAGUGUAAGAGAAGUGAGUCAUCGCCGACGACGACGUGAUGUACAUAUGUAAUGAGCACGAGAGGGGGAGGGGAGGCUGGUAAUCAGGAUUGGAGAGCCGGUACAACGAAUACCAAUGCGGUUAGCAUUAUCCCACGUGUUUAGGUAAACAAAAGUUUCUCACCCGAAUAAAGUUGAUAGAUGGUCAAAAUUUUGUCAACGUUUACAUGGAGAUGUUGCAGUGCUCAUGUAUGCGGGCGACUUCCUGAAAACAGAAAAAAAUAAUAAAAAAGACAUUUUUCAUCUUCGUAA